CAAGGGAAGGAACAAACUCGUUACUUGAAGACUUACCGUAUUACCGUGAUUACUUCCCUUUAGUCACACGGCGACAAUCUGUUCGACACAUUGUGUUACGACGCGGUGGAAUCAGGCGCUCGUCAAUUUUUGGAUCAAGCAAUGUUAACGAGACAGUACAGCUUGGGCCAGACUGCUAAUCUGACCAAUCCCGUGACAAAAAACAGACAACCUAAAUCAGCUUUGUAUCGUUUUCCUUUAAGUAGCUCUAUAUAAAUUAUCUAGAUCAUAUAUAGAUCUAGAUCUUGACUAGGAGGGAGAUAAGCACUGAAUUAAUCUAGAUAGAUCUAAACCAAAGAAACAUAUCUCCAGAUGCGAGGAUGCCUAUCUAGAAACUCUUUGGCACUACUGCUUGAACACAAAUGGCAGACUUCAUUACAAAGUGAAGAGAUUUGCACAAGUUCACCAAAACAAGCAGAGGAAGGCAGGAAUAUUUCAACAUUUGUCAAACAAAGCACAUUGGAUUUGGAAGUACACUUGCAUCAGGAAAUAGAUUUGGAGUCAUCCUCCGGUCUCCUGCGUGCCACAGCGAAACACCUAACCGCUACACCACAGACGCCAGUUCUCCUAUCUCAAGCCACUGAAACUACUGUACAUCAUCAUGAGCUACAAUACCUCAAAACUGAAAA